rnacentral:rRNA from 1 species
CCGGUGACAAACCGGAGGAAGGUGGGGANGACGUCAAGUCCUCAUGGCCCUUAUAGGUGGGGCUACACACGUCAUACAAUGGCCGGUACAAGGGGCAGCCAACCCGCGAGGGGGAGCCAAUCCCAUAAAGCCGGUNGUAGUCCGGAUCGCAGUCUGCAACUNGACUGCGUGAAGUCGGAAUCGCUAGUAAUCGUGGAUCA